rnacentral:rRNA from 1 species
UACGGGGGGGGCAAGCGUUGUUCGGAAUUACUGGGCGUAAAGGGCUCGUAGGCGGCCAACUAAGUCAGACGUGAAAUCCCUCGGCUUAACCGGGGAACUGCGUCUGAUACUGGAUGGCUUGAGGUUGGGAGAGGGAUGCGGAAUUCCAGGUGUAGCGGUGAAAUGCGUAGAUAUCGUAAGGAAGACCAGUGGCGAAGGCGGGUCUCUGGACAGUUCCUGACGCUGAGGCACGAAGGCCAGGGGAGCAAACGGG